rnacentral:rRNA from 1 species
AACGUACGCUGGCGGCACGCUUAACACAUGCAAGUCGAACGAAGUAGCAAUACUUAGUGGCAGACGGGUGAGUAACAUGUGGGUAUCUGCCCUUUGGCCUGGAAUAACACGAGGAAACUUGUGCUAAUACCGGAUAAGUCUUUACGGAGAAAGCUUUAUGCACCAUUGGAUGAGCCUGCACUUGAUUAGUUUGUUGGUGGGGUAAUGGCCUACCAAGACUGUGAUCAAUAGCUGAUUUGAGAGGAUGAUCAGCCACAUUGGGACUGAGACACGGCCCAAACUCCUACGGGAGGCAGCAGUGGGGAAUCUUGCACAAUGGAGGAAACUCUGAUGCAGCGAUGCCGCGUGAGUGAAGAAGGCCCUUGGGUUGUAAAGCUCUUUCGUCGGGGAAGAAAAUGACUGUACCCGAAUAAGAAGGUCCGGCUAACUUCGUGCCAGCAGCCGCGGUAAUACGAAGGGACCUAGCGUAGUUCGGAAUUACUGGGCUUAAAGAGUUCGUAGGUGGUUGAAAUAGUUAGUGGUGAAAUCCCAGAGCUUAACUCUGGAACUGCCAUUAAAACUUUUCAGCUAGAGUUUGAUAGAGGAAAGCAGAAUUUCUAGUGUAGAGGUGAAAUUCGUAGAUAUUAGAAAGAAUACCAAUUGCGAAGGCAGCUUUCUGGAUCAUUACUGACACUGAGGAACGAAAGCAUGGGUAGCGAAGAGGAUUAGAUACCCUCGUAGUCCAUGCCGUAAACGAUGUGUGUUAGACGUUGGAAAUUUAUUUUCAGUGUCGCAGCGAAAGCGAUAAACACACCGCCUGGGGAGUACGACCGCAAGGUUAAAACUCAAAUGAAUUGACGGGGACCCGCACAAGUAGUGGAGCAUGUGGUUUAAUUCGAAGAUACGCGCAGAACCUUACCAACACUUGACAUGUUCGUCGCGACUCUAAGAGAUUAGAGUUUUCGGUUCGGCCGGACGAAACACAGGUGCUGCAUGGCUGUCGUCAGCUCGUGUCGUGAGAUGUUGGGUUAAGUCCCGCAACGAGCGCAACCCUCACUUUUAGUUGCCAUCAUUAAGUUGGGCACUCUGAAAGAACUGCCAGUGAUAAGCUGGAGGAAGGUGGGGAUGACGUCAAGUCCUCAUGGCCCUUACGUGUUGGGCUACACACGUGCUACAAUGGUAUCUACAACAGGAAGCAAGACUGCGAGGUCAAGCAAAUCCUUAAAAGAUACCUCAGUUCGGAUUGCACUCUGCAACUCGAGUGCAUGAAGCUGGAAUUACUAGUAAUCGUGGAUCAGCGUGCCACGGUGAAUGCGUUCCCGGGUCU